UACAGAGGUCUCAAGCGUUGUUCGGAUUCAUUGGGCGUAAAGGGUGCGUAGGCGGCGGGGUAAGUCGGGUGUGAAAUCUCAGAGCUCAACUCUGAAAUUGCACUGGAUACUGCUCUGCUAGAGGGCUGGAGAGGAGAUCGGAAUUCACGGUGUAGCAGUGAAAUGCGUAGAUAUCGUGAGGAAGACCAGUGGCGAAGGCGGAUCUCUGGACAGCUCCUGACGCUGAGGCGCGAAGGCUAGGGGAGCAAACGGG
rnacentral:rRNA from 1 species